ensembl:lncRNA
CCUGGAGUGGGUUGCCAUUUCCUUCUCCAGGACAGGAACAUACAUUAACCUAACUCAAACAGACACACUUCUACAGAGGACGAUUUCAGGUCUCAGGGUCAGGCAACAGGCAGCUAGCAGGGAUAUUUUUGAUCCAGGGAUCUUCAGAGGGCCCUGAAAUUAUGCCUCAUUGGAAGUUUCUUGGCCUGGCUAUAUGGUGCUGAGGCAGCCCACGCCUUCCCUUUGAGACACAUGGAUAUUUUUAGUGACUUUCUUGGACAUGGCUAAUGCUGUCCUUCACCUUAUGGCAGCAGAAACCUCCUCAAGGGCCUUUCUGCUGCUUCUGUGGUUCUCAGCACACCAGCCUCUAAAAUGUGAAUCGUUUUGUGAAAUGGAAUAUUUCCUGCCAUAUCAGCAAACGAGAAUGUCAC